UGGAAGUUGGACUGAGGAAAGAAAAGAUUCCAGGUCCCUCAAAACAUUGUUCCUAAUAAGGAAGAUCUCUGAGCGUGCUGCUAAGGAAUUAGGAACCCUGAGCCUUCUAUUGCCAUGACUGGGCAGUGUUUCACAGUAUUACCUUUCAAAAUGGACCCUACACAAAGAUCCCUCUGGGUUGGCUGAUUCCUCGGAGGGGUGGCAGAAGGCGGUUUUAUUCUGUUUUGCUGUGUUCAUCCAUUUCUCCUUCCAGUCACCACAACAACAGCAGCACCCACCACACCCGCUGCCACCACCCACAGCAGCCAGCUCACCAGCAAGGACAUCUCCCGGCACAGCCCGCAUCCAGCAGAACCCAACACACCCACUGACACCACCCAGAGCAGCCACGUCACCAAGAAGAACAACUCACAACAGGGCACAGAUGCAGGAACAGGCAACAAGAACACACAGAAUUACUCCUGUAAAUUUGUCCUGUGGGUUAACCUGUCUUGCGCCUGCCUCCUGCUCCUCACUGCCAU